GGCUUAUUGAUAAUAAUUUUAAGUCUAACCUGCCCACUGAUUUAUUAAAGGGCCGCGGUAUUUUGACCGUGCAAAGGUAGCAUAAUCAUUAGUUUUUUAAUUGAAAGCUGGAAUGAAUGGUUGAAUAAGAAAAAUACUGUCUCUUUAAUAAAAUUUGAAUUUUAUUUUUAAGUUAAAAAGCUUAAAUAAUUUUAAAAGACGAGAAGACCCUAUAGAGUUUUAUUUUUAUAUAAUAAAAUUAUUUUAGUAUUUAUAUUUUUUUUAUUUUAUAAAAAUUUAAUUGGGGUGAUUAAAAAAUUUAAUAAACUUUUUUUUAUUUUUAACAAUAAUAUUUGAAUAUUUGAUCCAUUAUUAGUGAUUAUAAGAUUAAAUUACCUUAGGGAUAACAGCGUAAUUUUUUUUGAGAGUUCAUAUUGAAAAAAAAGAUUGCGACCUCGAUGUUGGAUUAAAAUUUAUUUUUGGUGCAGAAGCUAAAAAAUUUAAGUCUGUUCGACUUUUAAAAUUUUACA
rnacentral:rRNA from 1 species